rnacentral:rRNA from 1 species
GUGCCACAGCCGCGGUAAUACGUAGGUGGCAAGCGUUAUCCGGAAUUAUUGGGCGUAAAGCGCGCGCAGGUGGUUUCUUAAGUCUGAUGUGAAAGCCCACGGCUCAACCGUGGAGGGUCAUUGGAAACUGGGAGACUUGAGUGCAGAAGAGGAGAGUGGAAUUCCACGUGUAGCGGUGAAAUGCGUAGAGAUGUGGAGGAACACCAGUGGCGAAGGCGACUCUCUGGUCUGUAACUGACGCUGAGGAGCGAGAGCGUGGGGAGCGAACAGGAUUAGAUACCCUGGUAGUCC